rnacentral:rRNA from 1 species
CUCUGCGAUGGAAACAUCAUCUGGAAUGCACCCAAUCCUGUCAAACCCUGGAAGCUAGGCAGGCUUAAGCCUGGAUAGUGCUUGGAUGGGCGACCACCAACACACAAAGUCGGGUGUUGUAGGCG